rnacentral:misc_RNA from 1 species
UUAAGUUCAGGCGGUGUUCCUACCUGAUCUGAGGUCAAAUUCAGAGGGGGCUUAAGGUCCCGCUAUGGUGCGCCCUACAGGGACUCGUCCACAGAUGAGACCAAUGACAUUCAGACAACGCCGCAAGGCAAAGUCCAAGACAUGCUCCACCAAAAAAGGUAGAGUAUAGAGGUUUAAAUGACGCUCAGACAGGCAUGCCU